AACGAACGCUGGCGGCAGGCCUAACACAUGCAAGUCGAGCGAGGACUUCGGUCCUAGCGGCGGACGGGUGAGUAACGCGUGGGAACGUGCCCUUUGCUUCGGAAUAGCCCUGGGAAACUGGGAGUAAUACCGGAUGAGCCCUUUGGGGGAAAGAUUUAUCGGCGAAGGAUCGGCCCGCGUUGGAUUAGGUAGUUGGUGGGGUAAUGGCCUACCAAGCCGACGAUCCAUAGCUGGUUUGAGAGGAUGAUCAGCCACACUGGGACUGAGACACGGCCCAGACUCCUACGGGAGGCAGCAGUGGGGAAUCUUAGACAAUGGGGGAAACCCUGAUCGAGCCAUGCCGCGUGAGCGAUGAAGGCCUUAGGGUUGUAAAGCUCUUUCAGCUGGGAAGAGAAUGACGGUACCAGCAGAAGAAGCCCCGGCUAACUCCGUG
rnacentral:rRNA from 1 species